rnacentral:lncRNA from 1 species
GCUUUCUUAAACGCUUUUGUUUCUUUUGACAAAAAACUAGCUAUAUCAAAUACGGCUGCAACCAACAUAAUCCUAUAAUUACAGGAUCGAACUCAAGGUACGACAUGCACAUGUUUUUCAAAGAGUUCCACAAGUUGCCAUCUCCAAAUGGGCUAGAAAACCCUAGUUAACGAAGUAUGUGGUUCUGGUAAACCAUUGGUUGAGUUCAUUGCAGUUAGAACAUUUUACCAUCUGGAUGUGAAAUGCAACCCUUUCUAGCUUUGUAGAGAACCUUCCACUGAAAACAGUAGAUACUUGACAGUAUAAGCUUCAAUAAGCAGGGUGAUAAACCUGCACUCAGAUUGUAUGAUAUGAUGCUCUCUCAUUGCAGCACACAGUGCUGGACAUAGAGCAGCAACAGCGGACCGAUAAGAUGCCUCCAGAGCAACGAUUUGCAAUGUUCUGGUCAUGUCUUUAGAUGUUGUAAUGAUCCUCACUUCCCAUACAGCAGUCGGAAGAAAUUCAUUCCAUAUCAGAAGUUUCAUCCUCAUCUUCAUCAAGUAUAAACACCAAGGCAUGCCUUCGUGACGAAAAGACACAAGCAACACCUCGGGAAGCUGCAGUAGAAGUUCAGGCAUCAUUCCCAAAAGAAAAAAGAAAAAUAUAAUAACCACUAAAAGUUGUCAUAUGGAAACAAAAUCUUUAUCUUUAUCAAGAUGUUCUUACCACUAACUGCCAGUGGGGUGGUUACAGGGUGAGGAAUACAACGAACUUUUCCAUUUUCAAUGUGCAGGUCCAGAGCAGAAGCCUAAGGCAUAGUGCAUAACAAAAAUAACUUGUUAUGGAAAUUUCAAGAUUUGUCAAAAAUGAACAAAAGGAUGUAACAUAAAUACAAAGGCUACUCCCAACAUGUAUGCACAAAUCUAUGGAUAAAUGUUUCACACUCCAGAAUAGUUUUUUUUGUGGAUUAUCAAUAAUUUCACUGAUUACAAAAGUAAGCACAAAAGCCAUACAAUCGGAAUCCAGAUCCUUUAAGAUUGCAGAUUGAAAUAUGAAUUUAUUACUGGUCAAACUACACUUUGUUAUAUCAUAUAGUCCAUGUGGCUGCAGACACAGGCAUGUGUUUAGAUAAAUCAAGAUUUCAUUCUGAUCUAGAAUGAAUCUGGACCUGGUUGUUUAGAUCUAAGUAAAUGAAAUGAGAAUCAAAUAGAAAUUCUCAUUCCAGGUGAUAAAUAAGAGAAAAGGUGACAAAUAUACGACCUAAUCUUUUAUUUUCAUGUUUGGUUACCAAUAUGAUGGUACCUAGGUUCUGAUACAGUUAUAACAAAAAUCUCAAAAUAUUACAACUACUAAUAAAUAGUAAAAUGGGAUAUAGAAGUUUUCAUCUAAUGCCACCUGCUAGAUUUAAGAAAUAAAUAUAUUAGAGAAGCUGUAGGAGUUGCAUAAAUUAAGGACAAUUGGUGGAAAAUCGAUUGAGAUGAUAUGGACAUGUAUAGUGAAGACCUGAGGAGAAGUAAUUUAGUUUGUGUUUAAGGUUGCAAAAAAAGAAGAUGAUGACCUAAAUUAACAUGGAUGUAAGUUAUGAGGAAGGAUAUGGAAAAAUUUGGAAUAACAUCAGACGUAGCCCUAGAUGGGAAUACUUGGCGAAUGAGGAUCUAUGAAGCCAAUUCCAAAUAGUUGGGAAAAGGUUAGAUGAUUAUUUAAGUGGGAUGCGAUUUGAAUUAAGAUAUAGGGAUUUUACAAUUGGACCCAUGACUUCUUGGACCAAUCUUGAUGCUUUCUUAAACGCUUUUGUUUCUUUUGACAAAAAACUAGCUAUAUCAAAUACGGCUGCAACCAACAUAAUCCUAUAAUUACAGGAUCGAACUCAAGGUACGACAUGCACAUGUUUUUCAAAGAGUUCCACAAGUUGCCAUCUCCAAAUGGGCUAGAAAACCCUAGUUAACGAAGUAUGUGGUUCUGGUAAACCAUUGGUUGAGUUCAUUGCAGUUAGAACAUUUUACCAUCUGGAUGUGAAAUGCAACCCUUUCUAGCUUUGUAGAGAACCUUCCACUGAAAACAGUAGAUACUUGACAGUAUAAGCUUCAAUAAGCAGGGUGAUAAACCUGCACUCAGAUUGUAUGAAUGAUGCUCUCUCAUUGCAGCACACGGUGCUGGACAUAGAGCAGCAACAGGGACCGAUAAGAUGCCUCCAGAGCAACGAUUUGCAAUGUUCUGGUCAUGUCUUUAGAUGUUGUAAUGAUCCUCACUUCCCAUACAGCAGUCGGAAGAAAUUCAUUCCAUAUCAGAAGUUUCAUCCUCAUCUUCAUCAAGUAUAAACACCAAGGCAUGCCUUCGUGACGA